rnacentral:rRNA from 1 species
CCUACGGGAGGCAGCAGUGGGGAAUUUUGGACAAUGGACGAAAGUCUGAUCCAGCAAUGCCGCGUGCAGGACGAAGGCCUUCGGGUUGUAAACUGCUUUUGUACGGAACGAAAAGGUCUGCCUUAAUACGGUGGGCUCAUGACGGUACCGUAAGAAUAAGCACCGGCUAACUACGUGCCAGCAGCCGCGGUAAUACGUAGGGUGCAAGCGUUAAUCGGAAUUACUGGGCGUAAAGCGUGCGCAGGCGGUUAUAUAAGUCAGAUGUGAAAUCCCCGGGCUCAACCUGGGACCUGCAUUUGAGACUGUAUAGCUAGAGUACGGUAGAGGGGGAUGGAAUUCCGCGUGUAGCAGUGAAAUGCGUAGAUAUGCGGAGGAACACCGAUGGCGAAGGCAAUCCCCUGGACCUGUACUGACGCUCAUGCACGAAAGCGUGGGGAGCAAACAGGAUUAGAUACCCUGGUAGUCCACGCCCUAAACGAUGUCAACUGGUUGUUGGGUCUUCACUGACUCAGUAACGAAGCUAACGCGUGAAGUUGACCGCCUGGGGAGUAACGGCCGCAAGGUUGAAACUUCAAAGGAAUUGACGG